GACGAACGCUGGCGGCGUGCUUAACACAUGCAAGUCGAACGGAAAGGCCCUGCUUUUGUGGGGUGCUCGAGUGGCGAACGGGUGAGUAACACGUGAGUAACCUGCCCUUGACUUUGGGAUAACUUCAGGAAACUGGGGCUCAUACCGGAUAGGAGCUCCUGCUGCAUGGUGGGGGAUGGAAAGUUUCGGCGGUUGGGGAUGGACUCGCGGCUUAUCAGCUUGUUGGUGGGGUAGUGGCUUACCAAGGCUUUGACGGGUAGCCGGCCUGAGAGGGUGACCGGGGACAUUGGGACUGAGAUACGGCCCAGACUCCUACGGGAGGCAGCAGUGGGGAAUAUUGCACAAUGGGCGGAAGCCUGAUGCAGCAACGCCGCGUGCGGGAUGACGGCCUUCGGGUUGUAAACCGCUUUCGACUGUGACGAAGCGUGAGUGACGGUAAUGGGUAAAGAAGCACCGGCUAACUACGUG
rnacentral:rRNA from 1 species